rnacentral:lncRNA from 1 species
UUUAAAUAAAAUUAGUAAAAAAUAUGCCAAAAAUAGUCUUUUUAAUUUAAAUGACAAUGCAACUUUUUUAGAUCAACGUAUAAGUACAAAUAAUGACAUCUCAGAAGAAAAUUCUUUUGAUGAUGUAUUAAAAAAUAAAAAGUUACAUUCAAAAAAAAACCAACAUACCAAAAAGUUUAAAACAGUAAAUGAUUAUAUUCAAAAUAAAAUAGAACAAAGAAAAUCAUUACAACUUAAGAAUUAUGAAGUUCAAGAAAAAUUAAAAGAAUUCGAUGUACAUCUAGAAAACAUUAAAAAAAGUAUAUUUUUUUUAAACGACAAAUCAGAUAAAACAAACACAACUUAUAAGGGAAAUUACAACUCAUUAGAUAAUGUUCUACCUAAAAAUAAAAAAACAAAACAGCUGAAUAAUGCGCAAAAUGAUGCUUCUAAGGUAUAUGUGAGAAGGGAGGCAGAACAAAGGGGUUUGCCUUUACAGGAUGGCACGAAAAGGAUAACUGCUGAGAGUGGUAGUUACAUAAGGGAAGAAGAUGAAGAGGUAGAAGGGGUAGGAACGGAAGAAGAUGAAGAAGUAGAAGGGGUAGGAACGGAAGAAGAUGAAGAAGUAGAAGGGGUAGGAACGGAAGAAGAUGAAGAUGUAGAAGGGGUAGGAACGGAAGAAGAUGAAGAGGUAGAAGGGGUAGGAACGGAAGAAGAUGAAGAGGUAGAAAGGGUAGGAAUGGAAGAAGAAGAAAAGGUAGGAGAGAUGAAAGAGAUAGAAGAGGUGGGAGAGGUAGAAGAGGAAGAAGCGGAAGAAAAAGAAGAAGAAGAAGAUGAAAGAGCCAUCACGAAUGAAGUAGAACAAAAAAAAAACGAAUCCAAAACUAAAAAUGACAAAACAAAAAUAUCAAACAUCACACAAAACAAUGAAAGUAAAAUUAACACGAUGAAUACAAAAACUAAAAAAAGUAAACAGAUAAUAAAUUUUAAAGAUGUGCAUGAUAAAGGUUUACUUUGGUGUUCUGAUGAAAGUGAUAAUGAAAUAAUUAACAACAUAUUUAAUGAUGCUUAUACAGAUACUUCAUUAAAUAAAAAAGAACACGUUAUUACAAUAAAAAAUAAAAUAGCUGAUGUGUUAGAUACCUUUGUUAAAAAUGGGAAUAAAGAAUUAUAUUCUUAUUUUGUUAAUGACUCUAAUGAAGAUAAAAAGGACUUACCUAUGUAUGUGUGUAUAGAAAAAGAAUAUACAUUAAAAGAUAUGAUAAUCUUAUUAGAUUGUUAUAAUUUUAAUUCCCAAAAAAAGCUAUUAUUUAGAAUAUAUUAUACUAAUAUGUUUAAUAGUUUUAAUAAACGAG